rnacentral:rRNA from 1 species
AUUGAACGCUGGCGGAAUGCUUUACACAUGCAAGUCGAACGGCAGCACGGACUUCGGUCUGGUGGCGAGUGGCGAACGGGUGAGUAAUGUAUCGGAACGUGCCCAGUCGUGGGGGAUAACGUAGUGAAAAUUACGCUAAUACCGCAUACGAUCUAUGGAUGAAAGCGGGGGAUCGGAAGACCUCGCGCGAUUGGAGCGGCUGAUAUCAGAUUAGGUAGUAGGUGGGGUAAAGGCCCACCAAGCCAACGAUCUGUAGCUGGUCUGAGAGGACGACCAGCCACACUGGAACUGAGACACGGUCCAGACUCCUACGGGAGGCAGCAGUGGGGAAUUUUGGACAAUGGGCGAAAGCCUGAUCCAGCCAUUCCGCGCGCAGGAUGAAGGCCCUCGGGUUGCAAACUGCUUUUGUACAGAACGAAAAGGUUUCUACUAAUACUAGGAGCUCAUGACGGUACUGUAAGAAUAAGCACCGGCUAACUACGUGCCAGCCGCCGCCGUAA